rnacentral:lncRNA from 1 species
CGUCGGCGCCCAUGGGUACUCUCCCUUUUCGAAACGUUUUGAAAGACAAUGCAACCAUCCCAAUGGAAUAUUAUUGAAGCCCUGGUUGAAAAAGCCCCUAAAGAUUUAUGUUAUACAACGUUUGACAUGUUUGAACGAACUUAAAUAUAUAUUUUCUGCUCAUUCCUGACGACAAGUGAGACGCAGACGGUACAUUUUCACUAGCCUUCGGAGCGCGCUAACGCUAUUGGGACAUAAAUUAUUAACUUUUUUGAACAAAACUACAUUUGUUAUGGACCUGGGAUUCCUAGAAGUGCCUUCUGAUAAAGAUAAUCAAAGCUCCAAGGCAUAGCGAUUGGUCUCUGCUAUGUCUCCCACCAGCUCCUCUGUCAGAAACAACUUGAAGCACUCUGCCUCAGAUGGAAAUGGCAUGGGCCGUUGCACUCCAGACUGGGAAUCAUCAACGCAAACAGCAGGGCCAGGAGGGGUGACAUGGCUGGCAGCCUUCCAGCUACCACAGAACUCCUGUACUUCAUCCACUAUCGGUCUGACUCCAUCACCAC